UACGUAGGGGGCAAGCGUUGUCCGGAAUCAUUGGGCGUAAAGCGCGUGUAGGCGGCUCGGUAAGUCUGCUGUGAAAGUCCAGGGCUCAACCCUGGGAUGCCGGUGGAUACUGUCGAGCUCGAGUCCGGAAGAGGCGAGUGGAAUUCCUGGUGUAGCGGUGAAAUGCGCAGAUAUCAGGAGGAACACCAAUGGCGAAGGCAGCUCGCUGGGACGUGACUGACGCUGAGACGCGAAAGCGUGGGAGCAAACAGG
rnacentral:rRNA from 1 species